rnacentral:rRNA from 1 species
GACGAACGCUGGCGGCGUGCCUAAUACAUGCAAGUUGAGCGAUGAAGAUUGGUGCUUGCACCAAUUUGAAGAGCAGCGAACGGGUGAGUAACGCGUGGGGAAUCUGCCUUUGAGCGGGGGACAACAUUUGGAAACGAAUGCUAAUACCGCAUAACAACUUUAAACAUAAGUUUUAAGUUUGAAGGAUGCAAUUGCAUCACUAAAAGAUGAUCCCGCGUUGUAUUAGCUAGUUGGUGAGGUAAAGGCUCACCAAGGCGAUGAUACAUAGCCGACCUGAGAGGGUGAUCGGCCACAUUGGGACUGAGACACGGCCCAAACUCCUACGGGAGGCAGCAGUAGGGAAUCUUCGGCAAUGGACGAAAGUCUGACCGAGCAACGCCGCGUGAGUGAAGAAGGUUUUCGGAUCGUAAAACUCUGUUGGUAGAGAAGAACGUUGGUGAGAGUGGAAAGCUCAUCAAGUGACGGUAACUACACAGAAAGGGACGGCUAACUACGUG